ACGAAAUGGAAACGGUACGAUAAAACAGACCCGCGAGCACACUGACAUGUUUGUUCACGCAACAUAUUCAUACAACCUUCAUUGCCGAUAUUUCCACGGGUUCAGUCACAUCCCUGAGAACUUGCAGGUGGAGCUCCAGUGUUUGAUCCCCCUGAGUGCGGAGAGUUCAAAGGAAACAUGUUUGUUUCCGCGGCACCCAGCCCUUGUGAGCUUGCAGGAGGAGCUCCAGUGUUUGAUCCCCCUCCACUCCGAUGAUGCCCAAACCACUGAUCUACGUCUGACAAAUUUAUAGGCUUCAUGCGGGUUCCAGAGGUUGGUGUGCUCCGGCCUUGCCCUUGCCGCUGGAAUGGUUGGAAGACAGGUCGUCGUGGCCCUAUCUCCGCUGGCCUCAACCAGUACAGACCCUGGCUUCCAGAGGUUGGUGUGCUCCGGCCUUGCCCUUGCUGCUGGAAUGGUUGGAAGACAGGUCGUUGUGGCCCUAUCUCCGCUGGCCUCAACCGGUUCAGACCUUGGCUUGCCUGCUUGGAACUAUUAGUUCCAUAUGGUGUGCGUCCUCUACCACCCAUAGGUUGAAAUUGACGUGGUUCACCUCCCGAACAAUUUGAGUUCAGCCCA
rnacentral:lncRNA from 1 species